AUACGUAGGGGGCGAGCGUUGUCCGGAAUGAUUGGGCGUAAAGGGCGCGUAGGCGGCCCGGUAAGUCUGGAGUGAAAGUCCUGCUUUUAAGGUGGGAAUUGCUUUGGAUACUGUCGGGCUUGAGUGCAGGAGAGGUAAGUGGAAUUCCCAGUGUAGCGGUGAAAUGCGUAGAGAUUGGGAGGAACACCAGUGGCGAAGGCGACUUACUGGACUGUAACUGACGCUGAGGCGCGGAAGUGUGGGGAGCAAACAGGAUUAGAUACCCUGGUAGUCCACACUGUAAACGAUGAAUGCUAGGUGUAGGGGGUAUCGACCCCUUCUGUGCCGCAGUUAACACAAUAAGCAUUCCGCCUGGGGAGUACGGCCGCAAGGUUGAAACUCAAAUGAAUUGACGGGG
rnacentral:rRNA from 1 species